rnacentral:rRNA from 1 species
GAUGAACGCUGGCGGCGUGCCUAAUACAUGCAAGUCGAACGAAACUUCUUUAUCACCGAGUGCUUGCACUCACCGAUAAAGAGUUGAGUGGCGAACGGGUGAGUAACACGUGGGCAACCUGCCCCAACGAGGGGGAUAACACUUGGAAACAGGUGCUAAUACCGCAUAACCAUAGUUACCGCAUGGUAACUAUGUAAAAGGUGGCUAUACUACCGCUUUUGGAUGGGCCCGCGGCGCAUUAGCUAGUUGGUAGGGUAAAGGCUUACCAAGGCAAUGAUGCGUAGCCGAAUUGAGAGGGUGAUCGGCCACAUUGGGACUGAGACACGGCCCAAACUCCUACGGGAGGCAGCAGUAGGGAAUCUUCCACAAUGGGCGAAAGCCUGAUGGAGCAACGCCGCGUGGGUGAAGAAGGUCUUCGGAUCGUAAAACCCUGUUGUUAGGGAAGAAAGUACGUGAGAGUAACUGUUCACGUUUCGACGGUAUCUAACCGGAAAGCCACGGCUAACUACGUG